rnacentral:rRNA from 1 species
CCUACGGGAGGCUGCAGUGAGGAAUAUUGGUCAAUGGGCGCGAGCCUGAACCAGCCAAGCCGCGUGAGGGAUGAAGGAUCUCUGGUUCGUAAACCUCUUUUACAGGGGAAUAAAGUGCCGGACGCGUCCGGCUCUGCAGGUACCUAAUGAAUAAGGAUCGGCUAACUCCGUGCCAGCAGCCGCGGGAAUACGGAGGAUCCGAGCGUUAUCCGGAUUUAUUGGGUUUAAAGGGUGCGUAGGCGGCCGUUUAAGUCAGAGGUGAAGGCCUGGGGCUCAACCCUCGCAUUGCCGUUGAAACUGGGGGGCGUGAGUGCGGUGGAGGCAGGCGGAAUGCGUGGUGUAGCGGUGAAAUGCAUAGAUAUCGCGCAGAACCCCGAUUGCGAAGGCAGCCUGC